AUCAUAUGAUUCAAAAUAUAACACUUUUCUCUUUUGACAUUUAUGUUUUAGCUUUUUUGUAACAAUUUGAUACUAAAAAAGGUAGUACAGUAUUAGAGCGUAUUUUCAAAUACCAUUUAUUCAUUUUUAUUCAACGGUUCAAAUUUAAUUCUUUUAAAAUUAUGACCUGCAAUAUCAGAUUAUUUUGAGAGGCGUACAAAUUACCAUAUACUCCAAAGAGGAUAAUUUUAGGGUGCGUUUGGUUUGAAGUCGGAACCGGAAUCAAAAUCGGAAUCGAAAUAACUCAUUACCUAAUUUUGUUUGGUUCGUUACCUGAAUCGGAAUCGGAAUAAAUCAUUCCCAUUGUCGGUAUUUGGUUCAAGUAGAUAUAAAAAACGUAAUCAAAUUAGUAUACUAAUUUAUCUUUAUAAUAUAUUAAUUUAAAUUCAAAUUAAAAAUUAAAUAUUAAAAAUUUACAACAAAAUUUUGAAAUAAUGUCAAAAUUUUAAAUCUAUUUUUUUUAAAAAAAUUAAACUUUGAAGUUGAGUGGAUAAUUCAAAAUAUAAAACUAAAUUUCGAUUUAUCCAAAUUCAAACUUAAAAUUACAAUUUAAAAUUUAAUUUAAGUUUUAAAUAAAAUUUGAAGAAAACUUUAUAUAAAUUAAAAUUUAAUUUAAAUUCAAAUUCAUAAGUUAGAUUCGAAAUAUUUGAUUAAAUUUAAAUUUUUAAUUCAAAUUCAAAUUAAAAUUUAAAAUUAUAAAUUUAAUUUCUAAAUUUAAUCUCAUAUUUUAAUUAAAAAAAGUUGAAAAAAUAAAUUUAAUCCGAAUAAAUAUCUAUUCCGUCUAAAUUCAACUUCCAAUCCGGCCUCCUGAUUGGGGAUUUUCAUUCCACUCGAGAAUCAGAAUCGGAAUGGAACUCCCGCGAGCCAAACACCCACAAACGGAUUCGCCCAUUCCUAUUCCGAUUCCUGGGUGAAAUAGAAGCGAACCAAACACGCCCUUAUUAGUCUUUUAAUGCGUGGGUAAUUUAGUAAUUUUACCUCUACUAUAGCAUCAAAUCUCUCUUCUCUCUUUUAUUCCUCUUUCUCUUUCUAUCUUUCCUCUUCAUCCACAGUAGAGAUGUAAAGGAGUCGGAUUUGAGACAGAUAUUUAAAAAUCCAAACCCGAAUCUGACUAUCAACCAAAAAUCCAAAUCCAAAUCCAAAUCCAAAUCCGAAAAAUUUUAGAAAAUUAUAUCCACACUCGUAACUUAAAAUCCGAAACCCGAACCCAACCCUAAACCCGAAACAUUAUUAUUCCUGUUUACAAUAUUUCAAAAUAUAUUUAUAUCAAUUACCCAUAUUCAUUUUUUUGAGCAGGGCUAUUGUGCUAUUAGAAACACAGCAGUCCUUAUGCUCCUAACUUUUUAACCAUCUAUCAAAUUUGAUGAAUGGUUAGGAUGAGAGAGAGAAGAGAAAUUAAAGAAAAAUUAAAAGAGAAAAGAAAAUGAGACACCCAAUUUCUUGAGACACCCAAUUUCUCCUCAAUUUUUCUUUUCUCUCUCAUCCUAAGUUAGGAAGUUAUGAGCAUAAGGACAGUUCUGCUCCUGAUAGCAUAGUAGCCCGCUCCAUUUUUUUUAAAAAAAAUAGUGCUACAAAAUUAGUAUCUAAACUAGAAAAGUUUUUAAUUUUUUUAAACAUAUUAAAUAUGUUGAAUUUAAAUAUUUACCUACAUUCAGUUUUUAAAUUAGUAAUACAAAAUUAAUUCAAAAUUUUAUUAAACAUAUUAAAUACGAUGAAUUUAAAUAUUUAUCAAUAUUACAAUUUUUUUAAAUAAUAAUACAAAAUUAAUGUCUAAAGUAGAAAAUUUCUAAAAUUUUUUAAAACAUAUUAAAUACGUUGAAUUUAAAUUUUUAGCCUGUACAAUUCUAUUUUAAAAAAAAAAUUGAAUUAUACACAAUAUUCCUAAUCAAUUAC
rnacentral:lncRNA from 1 species